GACGAACGCUGGCGGCGUGCUUAACACAUGCAAGUCGAACGGAAAGGCCCUGCUUUUGUGGGGUGCUCGAGUGGCGAACGGGUGAGUAACACGUGAGUAACCUGCCCUUGACUUUGGGAUAACUUCAGGAAACUGGGGCUAAUACCGGAUAGGAGCUCCUGCUGCAUGGUGGGGGUGGGAAAGUUUCGGCGGUUGGGGAUGGACUCGCGGCUUAUCAGCUUGUUGGUGGGGUGGUGGCUUACCAAGGCUUUGACGGGUAGCCGGCCUGGGAGGGUGACCGGCCACAUUGGGACUGAGAUACGGCCCAGACGCCUACGGGGGGCAGCAGUGGGGAAUAUUGCACGAUGGGCGGAAGCCUGAUGCAGCAACGCCGCGUGCGGGAUGACGGCCUUCGGGUUGUAAACCGCUUUCGCCUGUGACGAAGCGUGAGUGACGGUAAUGGGUAAAGAAGCACCGGCUAACUACGUG
rnacentral:rRNA from 1 species